ACCUACGGGGGGCAGCAGUGGGGGAUAUUGCACAAUGGGGGGAACCCUGAUGCAGCAAUGCCGCGUGGGUGAAGAAGCACUCCGGUGCGUAAAGCCCUGUCAGCAGGGAAGAAAAUGACAGUACCUGACCAAGAAGCCCCGGCUAACUACGUGCCAGCAGCCACGGUAAUACGUAGGGGGCAAGCGUUAUCCGGAUUUACUGGGUGUAAAGGGAGCGUAGACGGCGGCGCAAGCCAGAUGUGAAAGCCCGGGGCUCAACCCCGGGACUGCAUUUGGAACUGUGCCGCUAGAGUGUCGGAGAGGCG
rnacentral:rRNA from 1 species